GGCAGUGUGAACUUAGGUUGGCUGUAUUGUUUUUUUAGGCACUGUAAACUUAUUAGGCUGGCUGUAUUGUUUUUUAGGCAGUGUGAACUUAUUAGGCUGGCUGUAUUGUUUUUUAGGCAGUGUGAACUUAUUAGGCUGGCUGUAUUGUUUUUUAGGCAGUGUGAACUUAUUAGGCUGGCUGUAUUGUUUUUUAGGCAGUGUAAACUUAUUAGGCUGGCUGUAUUGUUUUUUAGGCAGUGUGAACUUAUUAGGCUUGCUGUAUUAUUUUUUUAGGCAGUGUGAACUUAUUGGGCUGGCUGUAUUGUUUUUUAGGCAGUGUGAACUUAUUAGGCUUGCUGUAUUAUUUUUUAGGCAGUGUGAACUUAUUAGGCUGGUUGUACUGGUGUAGAAAACACUGGAGGGAGCUGCCCCACACAAGGAAGUGUCUGGUCGUGAUGGUGGGGAUGAACGUACUCCUGAUGCUGGAGGUUCUGGACUUCCCUCCCGUGUGGUGGACGUUUGACGCCCACAGUCUGUGGCAUGCUGGGACAGUUCCCCUAGGAAUCCUGUGGUACAGCUUUAUUAUCGAUGACGGAAAAUACCUGGCUGAAAAACAAGAGAUGAAGAAAAAACUUCCUUGAAGAAGACCCCAAUGUGUUCUGUACGGUAACCUGAACUGUGACAUGGGAAUUGUGCCUGCCAAGAAUAGUACACAGUGCUCAUAUUUACUUGUGAUACAUUAAGCAGUCCUUAAUUCGUUACAUGUACAUGUAUUUUUUUUAUUUUUUUUUAUAUUUUUGGGGUAACUCAGAUGCCAUUGUUAUCUUUUAUUAUUAUCAUACUAGUCUACUUCUAUAUAUUUCAGCGAUGUCUUCUACUGUAAAUCACUUUUUAAUUCAUGAAAAUUAUAUUUUCUCCUUAUUCCAGUGUGCUCAUCAAAAUGUAAUUCUUGCAUGUAAAAGUAUUCCUUAGGUAUAUAUGGAGCAAAAACCAUAAAUAGUAUAAAAUUUCGUCUUGCUAAUCAAGAGUCAAUGAAUAUCCUGCAAAAAUAAGGUGUCGCGCAAAUUAAGUGUUCUACACUAUAUCAUCACAAAAAAUUUAAGAAUUUCAUGUACAUUCCCUCCCCCCCCCCCCCAUACCUCCAGAGGUCUGAGGGGUCAGUCAAAUCCAUCAGAAUUAGUCACAAUCUUCAAAAUCUCUUACACAAUGUAUGAGACUAUGUGUAGUAGACAAACUGCAGUCAUUGAUUAUACAUUUGUAAUGAGUUAUUUACUUGAUAUACAAAAUUGUAAUUUUUUUUUCAUAUAAAUGUUAAGGCACCAUCUUAUUUGUUCAUGUAUGUACAAUAAAACAUUCACCCAGACUUACUUAUUAUGUAUUUAAAAAUUACAUUUUUCCCCUUUAUAUUUAGUCAUUUAGCAAGAAAAGGCAAACUAUUUGUAAACAAAACUUCUUCCAAAAUGAGUACAUCUUUUUGUCAAAGCCCCCCCCCCCCCUCUCCUUCCCCCCACAGAAAAUGUUAAAUCGAGUCCAUUUGUCUUUUACAUCUAGUUGUCUUUAACAUGAAUGUAGAAUCGAAUUAUAAUAUUACUGCCUUUGUUUCAUUUUAAAUUAUGCGAUGUAAAAAUAAAUUAUUGUCGAUCUCA